CAGGCCUAACACAUGCAAGUCGAACGAGACCUUCGGGUCUAGUGGCGCACGGGUGCGUAACGCGUGGGAAUCUGCCCCUUGGUUCGGAAUAACAGUUAGAAAUGACUGCUAAUACCGGAUAACGACGUAAGUCCAAAGAUUUAUCGCCGAGGGAUGAGCCCGCGUAGGAUUAGCUAGUUGGUGUGGUAAAGGCGCACCAAGGCGACGAUCCUUAGCUGGUCUGAGAGGAUGAUCAGCCACACUGGGACUGAGACACGGCCCAGACUCCUACGGGAGGCAGCAGUGGGGAAUAUUGGACAAUGGGCGAAAGCCUGAUCCAGCAAUGCCGCGUGAGUGAUGAAGGUCUUAGGAUUGUAAAGCUCUUUCGCCGGGGACGAUAAUGACGGUACCCGGAGAAGAAGCCCCGGCUAACUUCGUGCCAGCAGCCGCGGUAAU
rnacentral:rRNA from 1 species